GCUACCACGGGCGGGCGGGCACCGUCGUCGUCUCGGGGACGCCGAUCAGGCGGCCGUGCGGGCAGCGGCCGUCGUUCGGCCCGUCGCAGAAGCUC
rnacentral:tRNA from 1 species